ACAAGUAUCACAAUUCAGUGGAUUCCUGGAUAUGCUGGCGGACAAAUACAAACGUUUUACAUUGAAUAUCGUAUAGUUGGAAGAAGUGUAUGGAUGUCUCAUGAAAUCGUAACCAGUAACAAGUUAGAUUUUCCAAAGGUUUACACAUUGUUCGGGCUUCAAGAUAAAACAUCAUACGAACUAAAGAUGUAUGCAGAAAAUAUAUUUAACCAGAGCCAACGUACAGAUAUUCAGACACAAACAACUUCAAUGAAAGAAGUAAGCACAUCAUUAGACGCAAUUAUUGGUGGCGUAUCAGGUGUAGUGGUAACAUUACUCCUUGUGUUCACUGUUAUCAUUGUCGUAAAUAGACGGAGAAAAGGAAAGAAACAAAAUAAAAA